rnacentral:rRNA from 1 species
GAAGCUUGGGUAAUACCAAGUGGAGGUCCGAACCCGUCGAUGUUGAAAAAUCGUGGGAUGAGCUUGGGUUAGCCGGUGAAAUGCCAAUCGAACUCGGAGCUAGCUGGUUCUCCUCGAAAUGCGUUGAGGCGCAGCGGUUGUGGACGAGCUGUCUAGGGGUAAAGCACUGUUUCGGUGCGGGCUGCGAAAGCGGUACCAAAUCGUGGCAAACUGAGAAUACUAGGCAAUGCCUUCCCACAACCAGUGGGAGCAUGGGGAAUAAGCUCCAUGCUCAAGAGGGAAAGAGCCCAGAUCACCAGCUAAGGCCCCAGAAUAAUUGCUUAGUGGUAAAGGAGGUAAGGGUGCAGAAACAGCCAGGAGGUUUGCUUAGAAGCAGCCACCCUUUAAAGAGUGCGUAAUAGCUCACUGGUGGAGCGCUCUCGCGCCGAAAAUUUACGGGGCUAAGUGAUUUGCCGAAGCUGUGGGUUUAUGUAUUCAUUACAUAUACGGUAGAGGAGCGUUCCGCAAUAGGGUGAAGCAAAGGCGAAAGCACUUGUGGACAAGGCGGAAGUGAGAAUGUCGGCUUGAGUAACGUAAACAUUGGUGAAGAAUCCAAUGCCCCGAAAACCUAAGGGUUCCUUCACUAGGCUCGUCCAUGGAGGGUUAGUCAGGACCUAAGGUUAGGCCGUUAGGCGUCGCCGAUGGACAACAGGUCAACAUUCCUGUACUAUUUUUAGUUGAUACCGAGGGACGAAACAAUUGCUAGCCAACCAGUGUUGGGGUCUGGUUUGGUCACUUCAAAAGAAAAUAGGGAAAAAAAACUGUAUUUUCUACGAAGUACUUGGUAAAACAAAUAAGCAAAUGUUCUCCAAGAAAAGCUCGAACUAUCUUAAACUAAAAGUACCUGUACCUGAAACCGACACAGGUAGGUAGGUAGAGAAUACUAAGGGGCGCGAGACAACUCUCUCUAAGGAACUCGGCAAAAUGGCUCCGUAACUUCGGAAGAAGGAGCACCUGCGAGAGCAGGUCGCAGUGACCAGGCCCAGGCGACUGUUUACCAAAAACACAGGUCUCCGCUAAGUCGCAAGACGAUCUAUGGGGGCUGACGCCUGCCCGGUGCCGGAGGUAAAGGAAGCUGGUUAUUUCUGGGUUUUGCCCAUGGAGAAGCUGGCGACCGAAGCCCCGGUGAACGGCGGCCGUAACUCUGACGGUCCUAAGGUAGCGAAAUUCCUUGUCGGGUAAGUUCCGACCCGCACGAAAGGCGUAACGAUCUGGGUACUGUCUCGGAGAGAGACUCGGUGAAAUAGACAUGUCCGUGAAGAUGCGGACUUCCUACACCUGGACAGAAAGACCCUAUGAAGCUUUACUAUAACCUGGGAUUGGAUCUGGGCUCCUUUUGCGCAGUCUAGGUGGGAGGCGAAGAAAAUCUUCUUCCGGGGAGGUUGGAGCCAUCAGUGAGAGACCACUCUGAAGAAGCUAAGGUUCUAAAGGUGUUCCUUGAAUCAGGACGCCUAACAGUUCCAGGCGGGUAGUUUGUCUGGGGCGGACACCUCCUAAAAGGUAACGGAGGUGUGCAAAGGUUCCCUCAGGCUGGACGGAAAUCAGCUGUAGAGUGUAAAGGCAUAAGGGAGCUUGACUGCAAGACCUACAAGUCGAGCAGAGGCGAAAGCCGGCCUUAGUGAUCCGACGGUUCCGCGUGGAAGGGCCGUCGCUCAACGGAUAAAAGUUACUCUAGGGAUAACAGGCUAAUCGAGCCCAAGAGUUCACAUCGACGGCUCGGUUUGGCACCUCUAUGUCGGCUCAUCGCAACCUCGAGCUGUAGUCGGUUCGAAGGGUGG